rnacentral:rRNA from 1 species
UACGUAGGGUCCGAGCGUUGUCCGGAUUUAUUGGGCGUAAAGAGCUCGUAGGCGGUGUGUCGCGUCGGCCGUGAAAACUUGGGGCUUAACUCUGAGCGUGCGGUCGAUACGGGCAUCACUUGAGUUCGGCAGGGGAGACUGGAAUUCCUGGUGUAGCGGUGAAAUGCGCAGAUAUCAGGAGGAACACCGGUGGCGAAGGCGGGUCUCUGGGCCGAUACUG